rnacentral:lncRNA from 1 species
GGCUGAUCACUUUAAACCAAAAGAAUAAUAAUGGCCAAAUUUUAAAUAAAUAUUGGGACAAUUCACUGAAGCCCAUCAACUAGUCCAUAUUUCUAGCCAUUAAUUCUUCCAAUAGGCCCAAUGCUUAACCAAUAUCUUCUACAACCUGUUCAAGGAGAUGAGAUCAAUUUACAAGAAGUCAACAAAAAUCCCAAUAGGGAGCUGUAAAUGUCAUUUUCUUCUUCUGCCAAAUAAAACAAGUUGCAAAAUAUAACUGAAAAAUUCAUUUCUACACGAACACGCCACUAUCAUAUCUUGUCUCAAUCAAAUUAAUGCGAACCCAUUGAACAAACGCGAGAACACAUUAUAUUACCGGCUGCUUCUUCCUAAUGCCGGCGAUUGCUCUAGCAGCCUUGUUUGGAGGUCUGGAAUGCAGUGCUACCUCAAAGAAAGUACUAAGAGACCAUGAAAUGCUUCACCUACCUCGACGGUUGUUAAUUGCUUCUUGCUAUCUGACCUUACAACGAAUGGGGCUGAAGAGAGAUGGGGAUUUCUCAAGGGUGGUUGCCUCUCCCGUUUACCCAAUGUUUCAUCCUUUAACUUCCAAAUCAACAAUCCUUGUGUGUGUGUGUGUGUUUACAUCCGAUACAUAUGCAUACAGAGAGAGAUGGAUAUAUAGCAUGAAUUUAAGUGGAUCUUUGAAUACGUCCGCCGGGAUCUAGAGCUACUUUUUCCUUUCUUCUUGCUCUCUGGUUAUAUAUAUAUUGUUGGCAACUUUAAGUCGGUGGCAAUUGUUGCUGUGGUUAUUUUUCUAAUCUGUUUGUUGUGUCCAAGUUUUUCUUCAUUUUUGAUAUUGUCUUUGUUGGAGGAAACUAUUAAGAAAAAUCACUCCUUUUCGGUAACUGCCUUUUUCUUCUUUUCUCUGUUUGAUGCUGUCUUUGCCCCUUUUUUGGUAGAAAAUUAUGCCUGAAAAACUAUAUUUUUUCGGUGGCUUUUGGGAUGUAGUAUAUGGUUAACGUACCGUUUUUCAGAGACUGUGUCAAUCUGUUGACCUAAAAAAAUACGACAACAGAAUUCCGAUCUCAUUCCCUCAUCACCUGCAUACAGAACACCUCAUUAGGUGGCAAAGGUCGCCGAUCGAGAAAAAGGUUUGACGACAGUUUGCACUCCGACGGUCAAAUCAACGGCCGGAUGGAAAAAAAAUAAAAAAUGCAAAAGACAGAAGAGAGGGUUUGGUUUGGAUUAACAUGACUUACCUCAGAAUGAAAUGAAAC